rnacentral:rRNA from 2 species
GUCUACGGCCAUACCACCGGGAAAAAACCGGUUCUCGUCCGAUCACCGAAGUCAAGCCCGGUAGGGCCAGGUUAGUACUUGGAUGGGUGACCGCCUGGGAAUACCUGGUGCUGUAGACUU